rnacentral:rRNA from 1 species
GAUCUUAAGCAUAUCAAUAAGCGGAGGAAAAGAAACCAACAGGGAUUGCCCUAGUAACGGCGAGUGAAGCGGCAACAGCUCAAAUUUGAAAUCUGGCGUCUUUGGCGUCCGAGUUGUAAUUUGCAGAGGGCGCUUUGGCAUUGGCAGCGGUCCAAGUUCCUUGGAACAGGACGUCACAGAGGGUGAGAAUCCCGUACGUGGUCGCUAGCCUUUACCGUGUAAAGCCCCUUCGACGAGUCGAGUUGUUUGGGAAUGCAGCUCUAAAUGGGAGGUAAAUUUCUUCUAAAGCUAAAUACUGGCCAGAGACCGAUAGCGCACAAGUAGAGUGAUCGAAAGAUGAAAAGCACUUUGGAAAGAGAGUUAAAAAGCACGUGAAAUUGUUGAAAGGGAAGCGCUUGCAGCCAGACUUGCCUGUAGUUGCUCAUCUGGGUUUUUACCCAGUGCACUCUUCUAUAGGCAGGCCAGCAUCAGUUUGGGCGGUUGGAUAAAGGUCUCUGUCAUGUACCUCUCUUCGGGGAGAACUUAUAGGGGAGACGACAUGCAACCAGCCUGGACUGAGGUCCGCGCAUCUGCUAGGAUGCUGGCGUAAUGGCUGUAAGCGGCCCGUCUUGAAACACGGACCAAGGAGUCUAACAUCUAUGCGAGUGUUUGGGUGUCAAGCCCGAGCGCGUAAUGAAAGUGAACGGAGGUGGGAACCUUUCGGGGUGCACCAUCGACCGAUCCUGAUGUCUUCGGAUGGAUUUGAGUAAGAGCAUAGCUGUUGGGACCCGAAAGAUGGUGAACUAUGCUUGAAUAGGGUGAAGCCAGAGGAAACUCUGGUGGAGGCUCGCAGCGGUUCUGACGUGCAAAUCUAUCCCUCAAUACCCCCUAAGCACGAGCGAGGAGUCCACACAGUUCCCCC